rnacentral:rRNA from 1 species
UACAGAGGUGGCAAGCGUUGUUCGGAAUUACUGGGCGUAAAGGGCGCGUAGGCGGUGUGUCAAGUCAGGCGUGAAAGCCCCGGGCUCAACCUGGGAACCGCGCUUGAGACUGGCACGCUCGAGUUCGGGAGAGGAUGGUGGAAUUCCACGUGUAGCAGUGAAAUGCGUAGAGAUGUGGAGGAACACCGAUGGCGAAGGCAGCCCCCUGGGCUAACACUGACGCUCAGGCACGAAAGCGUGGGGAGCAAACAGG